rnacentral:rRNA from 1 species
CAGUCGCCACGGGAAUACGAAGGGGGCUAGCGUUGCUCGGAACGACUGGGCGUAAAGGGCACGUAGGCGGUGAAAAGGGUGGAAAGUGAAAGUCUCCAAAACACUGGCGGGGUGCUUUCUUGACCAUUUCACUUGAGUGAGAUAGGGGAGAGUGGAAUUUCGUGUGGAGGGAUCAAAUCCUAAGAUAUACGAAGGAACGCCAACCGCGAAGGCAGCUCUCUGGGUCCCCACUGACGCUGGGGUGUGAAAGCAUGGGAGCAAACAGGAUCAGAUACCCCCGUAGUCCCUGUCUCUUAUACAC